rnacentral:rRNA from 1 species
CCUACGGGCGGCUGCAGUGGGGAAUAUUGGACAAUGGGGGCAACCCUGAUCCAGCCAUGCCGCGUGUGUGAAGAAGGCCCUCGGGUUGUAAAGCACUUUCAGUGAGGAAGAACGCCUGGUGGUUAAUACCCAUCAGGAAAGACAUCACUCACAGAAGAAGCACCGGCUAACUCCGUGCCAGCAGCCGCGGUAAUACGGAGGGUGCGAGCGUUAAUCGGAAUUACUGGGCGUAAAGCGCGCGUAGGUGGCUUGAUAAGCCGGUUGUGAAAGCCCCGGGCUCAACCUGGGAACGGCAUCCGGAACUGUCAAGCUAGAGUGCAGAAGAGGAAGGUAGAAUUCCCGGUGUAGCGGUGAAAUGCGUAGAGAUCGGGAGGAAUACCAGUGGCGAAGGCGGCCUUCUGGACUGACACUGACACUGAGGUGCGAAAGCGUGGGUAGCAAACAGGAUUAGAUACCCUGGUAGUC